GGGCAGAAUCCCAAGCAGGCUCCAUGCUGUCAAUGUGCAGCCCGACUUGGGGCUCCCUGAUCUCCGUAAGAUCAUGAUUUGAGCUGAAAACAAGAGUUGGAGCAGCACGCCUCUCUCAAAAUAUCUUAUUGUACUGUACUCCCCCUUCUUGUGAUGAUGUGAGAUGAUAAAAUGUCUACAUGAUGAGAUGAAGCGAGAUGAAUGACAUGGUUAUUAUGAUGUGGUGUUAGGUAACUAACUAUUGACUUUCUGACAGUACACCAGAGGAAGAUCAUCCACUUUUGGACCAUGGUUCACUGCAGUUAACUGAAAUCGUAGAAAGCAUAACCAUGGAGAGAAGGAGGGAGAGAAUCCCAAGCAGGCUCUGCGCCAUCAGUGUGGAGGCAAUGUGGGGCCUGAUCUGACAAACCAUGAGAUCGUGAUGAGCCUAAAUCAAGAGCCAGAUGCUUAACUGAGCCACCCAGGAAUGACUCUAGUCCAGAAGCAGUCUGUUUAAUGGGGAUUGAUGUCUUGCAUUUCUCUCGAUUAAAGGAGUCUUAUACCCUAUAAUAAUUGCUUUUAUUUUCAAUUAGUUGAGGAAAAGACUGUUUUUCCAAAAGUGAGACAAAAGAGAAUAUUAGACUAUAUAUAUAUAU